rnacentral:tRNA from 1 species
GCCCUUAUAGCUCAGUGGUAGAGCGCAUCCUUGGUAAGGAUGAGGUCAUCGGUUCAAAUCCGAUUAAGGGCUCCA